rnacentral:rRNA from 1 species
CGUAGGGACCAAGCGUUGUUCGGAUUUACUGGGCGUAAAGGGCGCGUAGGCGGCGUGUUAAGUCACUUGUGAAAUCUCUAAGCUUAACUUAGAACGGUCAAGUGAUACUGAUGUGCUAGAGUGCAGAAGGGGCAACCGGAAUUCUUGGUGUAGCGGUGAAAUGCGUAGAUAUCAAGAGGAACACCUGAGGUGAAGACGGGUUGCUGGGCUGACACUGACGCUGAUGCGCGAAAGCUAGGGUAGCAAACGGGAUUAGAUACCCCGGUAGUCCUAGCCCUAAACGAUGAAUACUUGGUGUCUGGAGUUCUUUUCUCUGGGUGCCGUCGCUAACGUUUUAAGUAUUCCGCCUGGGGAGUACGCACGCAAGUGUG